CGUACAGCAGAUUGGCAACAAGGUCCCAUGGUCUAGUGGUUAGGACAUUGGACUCUGAAUCCAGUAACCCGAGUUCAAGUCUCGGUGGGACCUUCC
rnacentral:tRNA from 1 species